UAAUUUCUCACCAGCAUCUCUAAAAAAGAAGUCCCCACACGCAUGCAACCACAUUCCACAGGCCACAACACUCCUAGCACCCACCAUCAGAUCCCCUUUUCCUCCUCCUCUGACGCUACCACCACUGCCUCUGCUCCUCGAUUCCAACCGCCGGAGCCAUGAAUCGACGCAGGAAAGAACAAUACGAUGCUCCCCAUGGACUGCACUGCCAUGUCUUUCCGACCUUGUCUCUCUGGUGGCAUCGCUGCUGGUCGGGAUUCAACUCUGGCGUCGCUUGUUCUGUCAAUGUCCUUGUGGACGAAGAAGAGCUAAGCGGCAGCAAGCACAGUCUAGCUGGUUUGAUGUCAACUGGCGAUGAUAACGAAAUCAAGGAGGUAAAUAUUCAGUUAGCAAGCAAUGAUGGCGAAAGAAAGGAUGUAAAUAUUCAGUUAGCAAGUAAUGCUCCAAUAUAUUGAAAGCGGAAGAAGAAACUGAAGGCAAGACAAAAGAGGAAGAAGAAAUUACCACCGACAGCGGCGUCAGCAACCUCUUCAACAGGGCGCUUGCCUAAACUUAUCUCCCACCUCCGGGACUGGACAUCGGCCACUAAAGAAGAGGCAAGAGACUGUUCUGACGAAAACGUGCGAAGCCGAAGGGAAAAUAGAAAGAUUCACCGCAACCCCAUUACUGCCGGCACGAACCAGAGGAUCUGCGGUAAAUCAGGCACAGCCGAAGAGGGGAGGACAGGAGCAGUAUGUAACAUAGGAGUAGCAGACGUAGCAGAAAGCAAAGGAACACGUACAGGCACGGAAGACCUAGCAGGGGCAACAACAACAGGAGCAGUAUUCUGCAAUAGACGGCGGCGGCGUGCAGGCAGAGAAGCAGAAGAUGAUAACGAUUUAUACAGACGACCAGAUCCCCAGCCUGCACCUUCGACAGAUUUCAUAGCAGCUGGAGAACCAUCGUGAAGCAAAGAGGAAGCCCUAGGAAAAGGAAGACGAUCAGAGACAACAACAGCAACUGAACCAACAGUUGGGGCGGCAGCAGCAGGAAGAGCAGCAGAGGAGACUCGGCCACGGGCACCACGACGACCUCAGCCUACCGACUGAGAAGAUGGCUCAUCCAGGCCACGCCGGCGACGCGGCGCCGAAUACGAAGACAAAUAAACAGCCGGUGAGGCUGGCGGCACGUACGGCGGAGGUAUCGGCAAAGACGGGAGGUGAGCACGAACAGGACAUGAGCCAUCGAGACGCUGAGGCCGCGGUAAGAGCGGACGCAGGGGCGUCGACGCGGGAGCCAGCCGGCCUCCCCCACGGCUAGGAGUAGCGAACCAUGAGAUCAAGACCUAGCAAGGAAUCUAAUGAGAGAUGAAGAAGAACGCAGGGAAGAAAGGAGACCGGACUCUCCGAUGUGGAGUUGUGAACGCACGAACCGAGGAAGGAGUAGCGGAAAUCAAAAAAUGGCCGAGAAAUUAGGCCUAGAAAGCACGAUGGAGAAAGGAAUUGGACACGUAAAAAGAUACGUGGCAGUAAAGAGAAGAAACAUUUUCGGAGUGACAUGCAGGACCGGGUCAAGGCCAAUAAAACCGGACAUGGAAGGUAAACAGCAAGAAAGGGAAAAGCAGCAACCGUCCCGAAAAAGAAGGAUCACCGGAUGGAUCCCGGCUGCUCCCAGUAAAUAGGAAUUACAUGAGAGGAAGAAAAGAAGGGAAAACGAAAUAGGCUUCCGCAUGUGCAGGAAGCGGUAACGCGUGAAUAGUGGAAAAACUGGACGUGUCUAUGCCUGAUUAGAUAAAACUGAUGAUGAACAGUUACCAAAACGCUACCAUCACGGCAUAAGGGGUCAGCUUUGAUAUAGUUAAUAAUAAUGUGUUGGAGAUUCUACAGCCUACAAGGUGUCGUCAUCCGCGAGGAGGAACCAGCGACAGCAGAAGGCAGUGGCUGUCAGGGUGACGUUCAACGCCACGGACGCUGAGGGCGUACAUGGAGCCUUGGCCUCUUAAUCGAAGGGAACAUGAUCUUGCCGCUAGCGUUCUUUUAUUCUUUAGAUCGAUCAGCUGAAACUUUGUCAGUCUAUUUCAUUUGAAAUGAAUUUCUUAUACUGUAACCAAACGAACGCUCUUGUGAGUAAUGUAUCCAUAGUUCUAUUU